rnacentral:rRNA from 1 species
UAGCUGGUUCUCGCCGAAACAUAUUGAGGUAUGGGGUCAGUCGAUUUGCAUGGGGGGUAGAGCACUGGAUGGGCUAGGGGGACCACAAUCUUACCGAACCCAACCAAACUCCGAAUACCCAUGACAACAGGCUGGCACUCAGGCUACGGGAGCUAAGUUUCGUGGCCGAGAGGGAAAGAACCCAGACCGACAGCUAAGGUCCCCAAGUCAUUGCUCAGUGGAGAAGGAUGUGGGAGCACACAGACAGCCAGGAGGUUGGCUUAGAAGCAGCCAUCCUUUAAAGAAAGCGUAGCAGCUCACUGGUCGAGUGAACCUGCGCCCAAAAUUCAACGGGUCUAAGCAAUGCACCGAAGCUUCGGGUCUAGUCGAGAGACUAGGCGGUAGGCGAGUACUGUCUGUGCGGAGAAGCCGUACGGUAACGAGCGGUGGAGCGCAGACAGGAGCUGAUGUUGGCAUGAGUAGCGAUAAACAGGGUGAAAAUCCCUGUCGCCGUAAACCCAAGGGUUCCUGGGUAAAGACAAUCUUCUCAGGGUUAGUCGGCCCCUAAGGCGAGGCAGA